GUGUUUGUGUGUGUGUGUGUGUGUGUGUGUGUGUGUGUGUGCCCAUAGCUAUGCUCCAGACUAACCGUUUCCACUGGUAACACGGUGCUACCUAGUUUCACAAAAAGUCAGCUUGAGAAACCUGUAAUGCUGAUUCGUGCUGCACUGCCUUUCAGUGGGAUUGUCAUUUUUACUCACUAAAUGUACUAAAAAUGAGUUCAUAAAUGCAUUUUUCUCUAGUAUGUAUGAUAAUACAUUAAAUGAUACCGUCUUACAUGUAGCUGCAUCAAUAACAACAUCAUGUAUUCUAAUAUAUAGUAAUAAUAUUAUUAUAUAUAAUAUUUCCCAACAUAAUUGUCAGGGUGGGUGGAAGGCAGGACUCAAACGCAGACGUCAAAAGCAAAAAGGACUUUAAUAGUAAUAAACUCCAACACAAAAUGGCCAAGGGGCCAAAACGCAUACAGGUACUGGGGGGAAAAGGCUGGCAGAAACUAGAGACAUCCAGGACAAUAGACAAUGACGCCACAAGUGACACAAGCGACACAUGGCUUAAAUACACAAGGGAGGUGCAGGUGAUUGGACACAGGUGGAAACGGUCAGACAAUCACAGGGGAUGACGGGACAAGGCAGGAAGUGAAGUUACCUGGGGACACGAGUGGCAGAAAACUACAAAAUAAGACAGGAAGUGAACCACACCGUGACAAUAAUAGCCAAUUUGGCUGUAUGUUGAGUUCAUUUUCUUGAUUAAAUGCUUAACUUGCAACUUUACUUUCUUAAAUCCUGGUUUGGAUACUUUUACUUUAAUCUGGUUCGUAAACUCAGUAAAACCCUGAUGCCUCAGUAUAAAUGACACAGGUACACACGACGGAAAGCUUUCCAUCCGGAUCCCUUCUGGUUAUGUCAGAGGAAAUGCUGUAGGAUCCCUAAGAAGCUCCUUCUGUGUCCGCAAGCGACGCAUCCACCAUGGACGGAAAAGCAAACCAGAUCUGGCCUUGCCCCCCCACCACCUUUAACUGACUGAAAGGUCUUCUCAGGAGACUCUGGUGCUCCAAAACGAUGCUGAUUGUCCACAAGGUUGCACAGAAUUAGACAAUGACAGUAAAAGGUAUUGUUAAGCUCCUCCUCCUAAUUCCCUGGACGCACACAUCAAAAAUGACUGCACAUGCAACCGCAUACUCUAAGAUAAACCGGCAUCAACCACUUUACACAUGCAGGCACAUUGACACCAUUGAGGAUCUUACUCAGGUGGUGUUUGCAGGAUUUCUUAUCAAGCGAGGAUGCUUGUUAGUGCCGAUGCUCAUUAGUGUUAAUUGGCAUGGGUCUAUUAAUAAAUGACGACAGGGAAAGGUUGAGGAAGACGCUCUGUCAGAUUGACAGGUGGAGGAUGCGAUGGCGUUGAGUUUGACGUGACUAGAAGUAUUUUAUUCUCCUUCACACUUAAGCACUGACAGCAUCAAUGGCCUGCAGGAGGUAACAUUUUUUUUGCCAUUCACUUGCCUUUUUUUCCUUCUUUUUUUCCGUCUGACCGUAGUGUUGUGUUGUCGCUUUUGGCCAUGAAGCUGUCCUUCAUGCUGCCGUUAUUUCUGAAUCGAGUUGUUCAGAGUGCAUUCGCGUCCGUACGCCGUUAAAGGCUAGAAGAGGCUCUGGUGCAGAAUGUCAAUGCGCCAACAUUUGCAUUUUCUUCUGAGUUUUUGUGCCAGAUUGCCAUGCGAGCGUAUGGCAGUGAGGGCGAGCGUGCGCGUCUGUGUUUUAAUAGACACAACAGCAGGUCUGAGGGUCGUAAAGCACCAAUAAACCUGAAGUCAUGAAGGAGGCGCCAUGCUGGGACUGAGAGACUCCGGGCACACUAAAGCAUAAGGACAGUUUGAACAUCAUCCACACUGGGACGACAUCGUCUCUGUUAUUACACAGCGCCAAACAGUCCCACGCUCUGUCACACUAUUGUCUGCACUGAGGUGUUUGUCCGUGUUCGCAUUCCUGCUGCUUUUUACUCACAAACCCACAUUUAAUGGUUGCAACAUUUUUCUUAAUUUUUGUGGGGAAGUUUCCAUAUUGGUAUUCUGAUUGUUCAGCUGUUUCAUCAAUACGUUGUUUUGGUAAAUAUCACAUUUCAUUUAGUCCCAAGUACUUUUGCUGGUUAGUUCAAAUACCUCAUGUUGUUUAUGGUGUGUUUGAUAUCAAACCCUAACCUAAGUCUAUGUGUCUUUGCUUUAAUCAUUUGUGGUUCUGUGCCAGCCGUUGAUUCCAUCCAGUUGAUACGUGCAGAAUCUGACCAAACCGCUAUCGGCUUCGCACUGCAAUGUUCACUCUCAACACACUUAACCCGAACAUCGCUGCGUAGCCGUGUGUCCGUCUGCAGGCUGUGAAUCGGUGAAUGGUGACAAAUGGUGUUAAAGCGCUUUGAGUGCUCAGAAGACUAGAAAAGCGCUACCCAAGUGCAGUCCAUUUAGCAUGUGUUGCCGGGGCAACCAUGAGCAUUUACACAUCCAGGACUCAAAUCUUCAGGAAGCUUUUACACACGACACAGCGAGUUUCACAUUCGCAACUUGGUGCUACGCAGCUAAGAAGAGUGUUUGUUACAUGAUAUUAAGAUGAGAAUGCCGAGAUGUCAGGAUCAGGAAUCAGGAAAUAUGUAUUGCCAUAAUAUGUCAGACAUACAAGGAAUUUGAUUUGGCGGUUGGUGCGUAACAACAGACAGUACGACAAUGGACGACAAGACAACAGUGCAAGAGGAAUAAAAUAAAUAUAAGGCUAUGGGUUAGUUUAAAAUAAAAGACUAUAAGUUAAAGUUGAAAAUAUUAAAAAAUUAAAAAAUAAACUGUGCCAGUGAACAGAAAGUGACAAAAGUGACGAGUGAAAAGUGAAAGUGACAUGUGAGUGUGAAGGGGAGUGACCGGUGGAGUGUUAUAGUCAGUCAGUGGGGGACCGGCUCUGUUGAUGAGCCCGACUGCCGACGGGAAGAAACUGUUGGUGUGGCGGGAGGUCUUAGUCCUGAUGGACCUCAGCCUCCUGCCAGAUGGAAGGGGCACAAACAGGUUUUGUCGGGGUGAGAGGGGUCGGCUACCAUCUUUUUAGCUGCUUCAGAGACCUGGAAGCGAACAAGUCCUGCAGGGACGGCAGAUUGCAGCCGAUCAGCCUCUCUGCAGAGCGGAGGACACGCAGCCUGCCCUUGUCCUUGGCUGUGGCUGCAGCGUACCAGACGGUGAUGGAGGAGCAGAGGAUGGACUCCAUGAUGGCCGUGUAGAAGUGGACCAUCAUCGUCUUUGGCAGGUUGAGUUUCUUCAGCUGCCUCAGGAAGAACAACCUCUGCUGAGCCUUCUUGGUGAUGGAGCUGAUGUUCAGCUCCCACUUGAGGUCCUGGUGAUGAUGGAGCCCAGGAAACGGAAGGAGUCCACAAUAGUGACGGGGGAGUCACACAGGGUGAUGGGGGAGGGUGGGGCUCUGUUCUUCCUGAAAUCCACAACCAUCUCCACUGUCUUUAGAGCGUUGAGCUCCAGGUUGUUCUGACUGCACCACGACACCAGAUGGUCAGACUCCACCUGUAGGCGGACUCGUCCCCACCAGAGAUCAGUCCAAUGAGGGUGGUGUCAUCCGCAAACUUCAGGAGCUUGACGGACUGGUGACUGGAGGUGCAGCUGUUGGUGUACAGGGAGAAGAGCAGAGGGGAGAGAACGCAGCCUUGGGGGGAACCGGUGCUGAUGGUCCUGGAGGUCCAGGAUGUAAAGGAACAGUAACAUAAAUGAGCCGUAAAACCUAAACGAUGUGCAGAAGAAGGACAAUUUUCAUGUAACCAUUGGAUUUAAUAAUGUUAAAUGCAUGAACACACAAGUAGUAAACCUCAACUGUUUCUGUCGCCUUAUCAAGGGAAUGACGGAAGAUGUGCACGUUUGUGUUUUUCCGGUGGAGUCACGUACGUGCACAUACACAUGCACCUGUUGUUUCCUAACCCUGGCAGAGUUGUGUUGUGGCUGUUCGUCUGCUUGCCAAUUUAUACAGUUCCCUCGUCCGUCUCCGCUAAUAGACUCUGUGACGGAGCCAGAGGUUCAGCGCGUCUUAAAUCACUCCGCCGCUCCAACUCUGACAGUGUGUUCUGUGAUGUUUAAUUAGGAAUAAUGGUUUCUAAUAUUACACCAAUUAGGCCCUGUCUCCCACUCAGCCACAGGGAGUUGUGUUAAGUGAAAAACAGGCAGGGAAAAGAAAAAGGCAGAAAACUAGAAUGAAAUGACUGUACAGGUAAUGCCAGUUUGGUGCCUCCUGAGUUAUUAGUUCAGUAGAAAAUUGGCAUUGCUGACGGAUUUCUGACUAGUGAUUAAUUUGAGCUCUUCUUAGUGGAAGUUGCUAAUGAAACUGAGGCUGAAUGAACAAUUCAAACCAGCAAAAUAUGUUUGAAAGGAGGUACAUUUGAAAAGGAUGGCUGCUGGUAGUUCGGCUCUGUGUUGUUUGCUCCGUUUACAUGACAAACUGCAUCAGAAAGCACAACGAGAGACGUACAGGUGAUUGGCGUUCAAAUCACAAGCUGGUGGGAGGAGGAGAUCACAUGUGUUUGGAAAGAGACUUAAAGGACAGGUCAUGUGUUCAGGGAGAGACGACACACCUCUGUGUGAUUUGAACAAUGAACACCUACCGUUCUUUGUGAAUGUGCGUUGGGUGCAGGUCACACACAGUGUGUGUGUGUGAGUGCGUGUGUGACCUACUUUUACUGAGCGGACACUCUAACCCCCCCCCCCCCCCUCAGUGGGCUGAUACAUCUGUUCAAAGUGAUUUUACUUUCUUUUUUUAAAUGUGUUUGUAUGCUGUUACCCUAGACAGCAGUUGACGUGGUGUGUGUGUGUGUGUGUGUGUGUGUGUGUGUGUGUGUGUGUGUGUGUGUGUGCUAUUUAAGGGAUAAAGCCCUUAGUGACCCAAUAAGGGAAACAGGAAUCGCAGCGUUUCAUUGUGAAUCCGCUCUGCUGCUCUUAUCAACAAACCCGAUGAGGAGAAGAACAAUAAAACACAGAAACGGCCUUCACGCCCUUUUUCUGAGUAAAAACACGAUGCUAAAACUAUUUCAGUCUUAUUCUUCUUAGUUUUCUGUUGUUUCUGUUUCUUUCCGGUGGAGACACAUUGGUUCUUCUGUUGGAUAGUUGUUAAAACACAAGGACCAGUUUGUGAACAUAAAAGAUGAUGUCAUGAGCUAAUGUUUCAUUGGUAAUACUCCAUUGUUUAACGUUUUAGUUAUUUGAAGAUCCCUCUGCACUGAAACGAUGACAAAGGAAGUAGCCGUCGUUUCCAGGGAGCACUUGAUUAACGUUUAUGUGGUUUUCAAUUUGAAUAUUUGAACUAAUAAAAGCUUCACAAACCAUCUGUUUGUGUUUCACCCCUGAUGCCUUGCCCAAAGGUCCCCUGUUCCUGGGACUGGCACCGCGCCCAAACGCCCCCUCCCUUUCCCUCCCUUUCCCUCCUCGCUGCUCCCUUCUUUCCUUUCCUUUCUGUCUUACUCUUUCUUUUUUGUGUAACGUCUUUACAGUUUCCUUCUUCCAGCUGCUUCCCUCCUUCCCUCCCUCCUUGCCUCCCUCCUUCCUUCCUUCCUUCCUCUUCGUCCCCGUCUGUGUUCCUCCUCUUCUUCCCUAGUCCCUUUGUUCCUCUCCUCUGGUCUCCAUUCUCCUCACCCUCUCCUCCCUUUUCUCUUCUUUCUUCUCUCUUCAUUAUCUUCCGUUUUUUCCUCCAACUCUGGUCCUCCUCCUCUUCCCCACUCAUUUCAUCUCAUUUCAUCUCAUUUCAUCUCUUUUCAUCUCUUUUCAUCUCUUUUUAUAUUCUUCUCUCAUAUUAUUCAUCUCUCUCAUAUUCUGUAUUUCCUCCCUCAUUUGUAUCGCUACUUUUUACUUUCUUCUUCUCUCCUCCUUUCUCCUCCUUCUCAAUCUGUGUCUCUUCCUUCUUCCUCCUCACCCAGUGUAUUAAAUCGCUCAUCCUCCAUCUCUCCUCUCCUGCUUCACCUCCC
ensembl:lncRNA